UCUAUAGAGACCAGGAACCAGGUCUAUAGGAACCAGCAACCAGGUCUAUAGGAACCAGGUCUAUAGGAACCAGGAACCAGGUCUAUAGGAACCAGGAACCAGGUCUCUAGAGACCAGGUCUACAGAGACAAGGAACCAGGACUAUAGGAACCAGGUCUAUAGAGACCAGGUUUAUAGAAACCAGGUCUAUAGAGACCAAGUCUAUAGAGACCAGGUCUAUAGGAACCAGGUCAAUAGGAAAAGUUUAUAGGAACCAGGUCUAUACAGACCAGGAACCAGGUCUAUAGGAACCAGGUCUACAGAGACCAGGUCUAUAGGAACCAGGAACCAGGUCUAUAGAAACCAGCAACUAGGUCUAUAGGGACCAGGUCUAUAGGAACCAGCAACCAGGUCUAUAGGAACCAGGUCUACAGAGACCAUAAAAUACUUUCUGUAUUUUUACAGCCCUGGUGGUUUCAUCACUGACCUCCAGUCUCAUCCCACUAAUACUGAUGAUUUCAGGGUGUCAACCUGCUGUUGUGUCAGAUACAACCGGUCUGUCUGUUGUCCCAGAUACAGCCGGUCUGUCUGUUGUCCCAGAUACAGCCGGUCUGUCUGUUGUCCCAGAUACAGCCGGUCUGUCUGUUGUCCCAGAUACAGCCGGUCUGUCUGUUGUGUCAGAUACAGCCGGUCUGUCUGUUGUGUCAGAUACAACCGGUCUGUCUGUUGUGUCAGACACAGCCGGUCUGUCUGUUGUGUCAGAUACAACCGGUCUGUCUGUUGUGUCAGAUACAGCCGGUCUGUCUGUUGUGUCAGACACAGCCGGUCUGUCUGUUGUGUCAGAUACAACCGGUCUGUCUGUUGUGUCAGAUACAACCGGUCUGUCUGUUGUGUCAGAUACAGCCGGUCUGUCUGUUGUGUCAGAUACAGCCGGUCUGUCUGUUGUGUCAGACACAGCCGGUCUGUCUGUUGUGUCAGAUACAACCGGUCUGUCUGUUGUGUCAGAUACAACCGGUCUGUCUGUUGUGUCAGAUACAGCCGGUCUGUCUGUUGUGAGGUAUUAUCUUUACUGAACAGUCACAUGACCGACUCCCUCCCUAAAGCCCCUCCCCCAGUAUCCUUCAUUCUGAGGCUCCCAGUCAGCAAACUGGAACCAGUAACCCACCUGUCAACGUCAGGUGGCACAUGGCAGCGGUGUGUGUGUGUGUGUGUGUGUGUGUGUGUGUGUGUGUGUGUGUGUGUGUGUGUGUGUGUGUGGGUGUGUGGGUGUGUGGGUGUGUGGGUGUGUGGGUGUGUGUGGGGCCGGCUUGUCUCAGAAUAACACCUGUCCUGGUCCUCCUGUCCCACACAUGGCCCUGAAACUCAAGGCCUCUCAGGGAGACACUUGAAUAUGGAUUGAGGGAUUAAAUUCAGUAUUGGAGCUCUUUAGCAGCCUGUUACCCUGACUAACGAGUCCCAACAUUAUAAAUGUGAUAUAAUAAUAUAAAUACAGAUGUUUUAACACCAGAAUGGAUAUCAGGGUUCAGGUGACUUUAUUUGUACUCGUAGGUAGAUUUGUUUUGCAGCAAAAAAAAAAAAAAAAAAUAGGGUAUAUCUGCUUCAUGUGAGUCUCUGUGGAGGUAGAAUGAAGUUACCGCUUUUAUUGUGGUAGUCUGAGUAACGUGACGUCAUAUCCGUUCCGUAUCCGUCAACCAAAACAAACCUCAGAGAGUCUAAAACGCUGGAGGGUCAGCGUGGAUACGACCUGCACCCUCACAUGUUAAAUC